rnacentral:rRNA from 1 species
GAUGAACGCUGGCGGCGUGCUUAACACAUGCAAGUCGAACGGAAAGGCCCCAGCUUGCUGGGGUACUCGAGUGGCGAACGGGUGAGUAACACGUGGGUGAUCUGCCCUGCACUUUGGGAUAAGCUUGGGAAACUGGGUCUAAUACCGAAUAUGACCACAUCUUGGAUGUUGUGGUGGAAAGCUUUUGCGGUGUGGGAUGAGCCUGCGGCCUAUCAGCUUGUUGGUGGGGUAAUGGCCUACCAAGGCGGCGACGGGUAUCCGGCCUGAGAGGGUGUACGGACACAUUGGGACUGAGAUACGGCCCAGACUCCUACGGGAGGCAGCAGUGGGGAAUAUUGCACAAUGGGCGCAAGCCUGAUGCAGCGACGCCGCGUGGGGGAUGAAGGCCUACGGGUUGUAAACUCCUUUCGCUAUCGACGAAGCCACUUGUGGUGACGGUAGGUAGAUAAGAAGCACCGGCUAACUACGUGCCAGCCGCCGCCGUAA